rnacentral:misc_RNA from 1 species
UUUCCGUAGGUGAACCUGCGGAAGGAUCAUUAUUGGACUUUGAAACUUCAGGCUGCUGCUGGCUCUCCUCGGAGGGCAUGUGCACGCUUGUUGUCCAUUAUUUCUCCCACUGCGCACAAAUUGUAGACCUUUCAGUAGGCCUAUGUUGUUUUUCACAAUCUCUGAGUGUAAUAGAAUGGUUUUGAAUCUUGGGAAAUACAAUACAACUUUCAGCAACGGAUCUCUUGGCUCUCACAUCGAUGAAGAACGCAGC